rnacentral:rRNA from 1 species
AUUGAACGCUGGCGGCAUGCUUUACACAUGCAAGUCGAACGGCAGCGCGGGCUUCGGCCUGGCGGCGAGUGGCGAACGGGUGAGUAAUGCAUCGGAACGUGCCCAGUAGUGGGGGAUAGCCCGGCGAAAGCCGGAUUAAUACCGCAUACGACCUGAGGGUGAAAGCGGGGGACCGAAAGGCCUCGCGCCAUUGGAGCGGCCGAUGUCGGAUUAGCUAGUUGGUGGGGUGAAGGCUUACCAAGGCGACGAUCCGUAGCUGGUCUGAGAGGACGACCAGCCACACUGGGACUGAGACACGGCCCAGACUCCUACGGGAGGCAGCAGUGGGGAAUUUUGGACAAUGGGGGCAACCCUGAUCCAGCCAUGCCGCGUGCGGGAAGAAGGCCUUCGGGUUGUAAACCGCUUUUGUUCGGGAAGAAAUCCUCUGGGCUAAUACCCCGGGGGGAUGACGGUACCGGAAGAAUAAGCACCGGCUAACUACGUG